UAUGUACUCCCUCGGUCCGAAAUUCUUGUCUUAGAUUUAUCUAGAUACGGAUGUAUCUAACACUAAAACGUGAAUAGAUACAUCCGUAUGUAGACAAAUCUAAGAUAAGAAUUUUGGGACGGAGGGAGUAUGUU
rfam:Triticum aestivum genome assembly, contig: Triticum_aestivum_CS42_TGACv1_scaffold_129333_2BL